CCUGUUCUUCCAACCUUCACAACUUUUCAACCGUAACUCCAAAUGAGGUGAUUCCAAAGCCUAUUUCUUCGUUUCAUCGAGCCCGUUCUGUUGGUUUCAUUUUCACUAUGGUUUGACACUGUGAAAAUGACCUUUUUGCCCUUGCGCGUAAACAGCCCCUCCGAGAGAGAACUGUUUCCGGCAAAUCUUUCCGCGGCUUCACCGCACUUCUCCCCGGUGACUUCUUCCACCCCAGGCAAGCCACAAUACCCACUUGCAUGAUAGUCAUGCAGUAGCCAUGGUUUUCAACUUGAAUCUUUAUUAAAUGUUUGCUUGUUGUAAAGAUGGUUAUCGUUGUUCCGGUGAUGUUUAGAUUUGCAUGUUCACUUUUGUGCUAGGUUGUCUUGUACUCUGUUAUCAUGUUCUACCUGCUAGUAUUUCCUUUCAUAUAUUUGUGCUUGCUAGUAGUACAUGUUGAUGUACUGGUGAUGUUCAUGCUAGUCAGUAUGUCGUGCUCAGUGGAUAUGAUUCAUUGUUGAUAUGGUGGAUAGUAUGUGAUACCGUCAUGAUUAUGUUGAUAUCAUGUCCAUGCAUUGUAAUUUGCAUCAUGUUAUUUUAUCAUGGCUCAGCAUAUUUGCAUUCAAGUUAACCGGAUUAAAUUGAACUUGAACAACUGUUGGCUGAGUCAUGGUGCCGCUGAAUCGAUGCUGACCAGUGCAACCACGCUUACCGGUAUGGGACGGUCCUAACUGGGUCUAUUGUCGUGCCUCUCGCCGGUGCCUCCAACGAGGGAAGGUUAUGGGCGCGCGCUACCCUGAUCAGGUAGGCGGACAUAACCUUGUGUGCCCGUUGUUGUUUUUAUGGAUCCGGUCCCCGUGAGGGACGUUUGGCCACGACGGUGGUCGUUGUGUUUUUGGUAGACACGGGGCCACCCAGGACUAGCCCAAUGGGGAGUGAGUCGGAGUGGCCGGGAGAGUGUCAUGGCAGUAGAUCGGUUUUGUCAGAACGCCGUUGGUCCACCCGAAUGGGAGUACGAGGCCAUGGGUUCCGUGGUGUGGGUACAGUGUACUAACCUCUGCAGAGUGUAUAUUAAAUCUAUCGAUAGUCGUGCCCGCGGAUAAGGGCCCAGCUCGUGUCGGUCCCACCGUGAGUCAACAGUAUUAAUAAUAACUUGAUUAAUGACAACCCCGGUUCGACGAUGAGAUAAGUUGGUUGUGAUCACCGGAAAGAUCACCGUUUGAGACCAAGUGUUGGUCAUGGUUGUGAUCGCCGGAAUGAUCACCGUGGUAUCGAGGAUACCGAGUUGUUGGAUAUUCGUGAUGUUGUGCGAGAAUCAUGGGUAAAGAUCAAGCUCCUUGUGGUCAUUUAAUGAUUACUACGGUAUUGUUUAUACCAAGCUUGAUUUGAUCCUGAGAUGAUUGUGUGAUGUCCGAGGUUGGUAAGUGAUGCAUGUGAUGGUUACGUAGUAACCCGAGCAGAAUAAAUGGUGCAUGUAGUGUCAUCAUGUUGCAUGCUAGUAUCAUCAGCUUUAUAUGUUCAUGCCAUGAUCAUAUAUUGUCCUAGCGAUAUUAUGUUCAUAUUGUUCAUGCCAUGUUAUCCUGAUGAUCUCAUGAUAAUCCCUGAUUAACCUGUAAUUGCCAUGCUGUUGUUUGUCUUGAAUGCAUCUGGUUAAUUGUGAGCUUGCAAGUACAUUCAAUGUACUGACCUGGCGUGUCAUGCCAGCUUGCAGGUCGUGCCUGGAUUACAUGCUUGUUUGCCGUGGAUUCUUUGUUUGCGAGCUAGGAUAAGCGUUCCAGCCAGAGUCCCUGCGGAGUGGAGUUCACCACCGUCGUCGUUGUUCCGCUGCUAGAGUUAUUCCGCUGCUUCGAGUUGUUCUGCUGCUUGCAUAGAGCAACUGAGGAUGGCGUAGUGUCGCCGUGCCGAUUUUAUUCAUUGUAAUAUCGGAGACCUUGUAUUCAUAUUCGUGUAAUAAUAGAAAGCUGGUUUGUUCUAUGCUAAGCAGUGCCGUAUUCCAGAAGACUUCUCCUCGAUCUCUGGGCUAGAAUACGGGGCGUUCCGGUUUCUCUGAGCCGGGGUGCCACACCUUAAUACAUGUGUG
rnacentral:lncRNA from 1 species